GGCCUACUAUGUAUCUUCUACUUCAAUGCAUCGUUCUAUGUCCUUUAGUUCUAUGUCCCUUUGUUUAGUUGAUGCUUUCAUGAGUCGUACAGCAUCAACUGAUGACGGCAAAAUUUGCCCUAGUGCAGAGGUUUCCUCAAUGUCCUGUAAAAAAAGUACACACAAACUUAAGAUUCCUUCUCAACUUCAUUUCUUGAAUAUCAGAACUUAUAAAAAAUACAAGGCAACUACAGUCAACUCCCUCAGAAGCAGACACGUCAUGAACUAAAAACAGUGUUACAAGGGCUGUCAGCUAAUGAAAAUGAAGAAAGACAUUGUUGCUUACAAUUCUUUCACUUAGACGGGAGUUUGCUGUACCUCAAUUUCAGGGUGUCAAACCCCAGGAUGUUUCGCUACAUUCAAGGAAUACAUUCGGGCUUGUUGGUAUUUACAUUUCACCCAGCUUAUAAAUCAGGCUCAAAUAACUUAUAUUUACAUAUUCACAUCGUAAACUCAAAUGACAACUUCCCGUAAUAAAACUCUUUAGUAAAAUAGAACGAGUAAAAUAUUUCGUUCCCUUCUGAACCAAUUAUUUGUCUCUCAAGUACUUAUUGACCUAUGAAUUUUUUACCUGGAAUGGUUCUAACGCGGCUUCAGCAGCGGCGCUGGUCUCAGAGGUUUCCGGUUGGAAAAACACGCUGGACCUUGAGGCAGUUUCAUCUCUACAGCUCUGCAAUUUUGAUUUUCGAAAUAAAUAACAAAUUGAAAAGGAGGAUCAAGACUGGUCAAGACAGUACAGAAACAGCAGAAUCUAUACGGCAACAGAACAUUGACUUUGAGAAAGAUCAUUUUUCUCACCUCAUGUGAAGUUUUCAUGCGUUUGUUUCCAAGCUCCAAAUCGACUCUGUCGAUACUGCUGUCGGCAGUAUGUACAAAUGCUUCUAGACCAGCCCUUUUUGCCUUUGUCAUCUAGCUCCAAGAAAACUUUCUCUACUCUGUUCGCCUUUCUCAGGGACCUCUGUUCCACAUCUGAAGGCUUACUGCCACACCAAGCCUCGUGGUUUGGGCAGCAACGUGCCUGCCUUUUGAACACCAUACCAAGCUUUUCUAACUUCUCGGACAAAGUUUGCAAGCAAACAGAACUCAGAAGCGUUUCUUUAAAGUAUAAACAAUAGAUUUUCAAACUAUUUUCGAAGAGAUAAUGAAUAGCGAGAGACUUGUCUUAAUAUAUCGAGGAGGAAGCAUGUAGAAUUCAAAAUGGCGACGUGAGCGCUAGGUCGGAAAUGUAACUUCCGAACAUACGAUUCGGACAAAACUCGGGGAUAAGUCGUAACAAUGCAACCUUUGUUUUAUUCUUAAUUUAAAUGUUUGUCAAUCAAUGGAUAAGAUACGGAAAACACCCGAAGAUGUAUUUUAGCCAAUCAGAGGGCAGGAUUUUACUGAAGCUACUUCUGCGCAUGCGUUGCCGCAGGGUACCGUAGUUCUUACACGAACCAUUACUUAAAGUGGCAACCGCACCAGUUUACUUCCGUCGGGACGACGGAAACCUUAAGCGAUAAAAGACAAAAGAAUCUAUUAGAAUAUGCACUAACAGGUCAACCGCGCGUUACAUGCUUGAAGAGACUUUCAAAAGACACACUGCUUUUUCAAUUUGGAAAUACUUUUUUAUAUAAAUCAUUGGAAAUUGUUUCGUUUGUCACCGGAAGUAAACUGGUGAGAUUGCCGGUGUAAAUCACGCUUUGCCUCUCAUUCGGACUGUAUGCAGUCUGGGAUUAUUGUUAAACUGGUAAUAUUAUGGAAUUCAUCCAAUUAAUGUACGGAACGAUAUUCAGGAUAGGCUUAAAUACGCUAAGAUAUCAUGCUUUUAAUUAGGAUGUUUUAAAACAUCCCAUCGUUAUUAUCAUUUCCAUCGUUAGUUUUGAGUGAAUUAGUAUUAUCAGUAAGUAAAUCAUAAUCUAAAUAUGUUUGAAUUAUUUAUAAAUAUAAAAUAUAUUCCUUGUAUAUCAAAUAUAGGUGGCAAAGGGAGGCAUAAAGGGGCCAAGUUUGGCGAUUUUAACUUCGAUAUGAAGAAUUCCUUCUUUGGUGGUCUGAUGGAAUCGGACCUACGCAUCCCCUAGGUACUCGCCUAAAAUUAGCCAAUCAACCACUCGUAGUAUAAAAAUCGUAGUUCAAUAUAUUUUUAUGCCACAUCACAGGAGAGACCUUAUUCUUUCCAUCCAUCAAAGAACGAGAUACCUGUGUGCUGUAUUCCACAGAUAAACCAGACAAGAUCUAAAAAAGAAAAGCAUAGGCCAACAUUAUAUAGCAGAAGAUGUUGUCAUACCUUGCUUGAUUCCCGAAGAUGAAACCACGAGAAGAGCCGCCAGGAGAAGUACUUUCGGGAGCGACAUGUUAUCGCAUCAUUGAUCCAAAACCUCUGCACCCUUCGUGAGUUGGCACAUCUGGAAUCAUCGCCUUCGUAUACAACACUACGCCCUGCAUGACGCUAUUACGAACCCCACCUCUGAGGGGAUGAACAGGAUAAACCUUCAGGUGCCGCUAUCACGUGACCUUGUCCAUGCGCAUUGACUUCCUGAUGGAAGGUUCUUGUGUUACAGGUUUUGCAGUUAACGUAUGAUCACAUAGCGCGUUUGACGCCGAUAUUCUAGUCAUUACAUUAGUAAAAAACAGGAGAGAAGGUCGAA